rnacentral:rRNA from 1 species
AUUGAACGCUGGCGGCAUGCUUUACACAUGCAAGUCGAACGGUAACAGGCCGCAAGGUGCUGACGAGUGGCGAACGGGUGAGUAAUGCAUCGGAACGUGCCCAGUCGUGGGGGAUAACUACUCGAAAGAGUAGCUAAUACCGCAUACGAUCUAUGGAUGAAAGCGGGGGACCGUAAGGCCUCGCGCGAUUGGAGCGGCCGAUGUCAGAUUAGGUAGUUGGUGGGGUAAAGGCUCACCAAGCCAACGAUCUGUAGCUGGUCUGAGAGGACGACCAGCCACACUGGGACUGAGACACGGCCCAGACUCCUACGGGAGGCAGCAGUGGGGAAUUUUGGACAAUGGGCGCAAGCCUGAUCCAGCAAUGCCGCGUACAGGAAGAAGGCCUUCGGGUUGUAAACUGCUUUUGUACGGAACGAAACGGCUCUGGUUAAUACCCGGGGCUAAUGACGGUACCGUAAGAAUAAGCACCGGCUAACUACGUG